rnacentral:rRNA from 1 species
UACGGGGGGGGCAAGCGUUGUUCGGAAUUACUGGGCGUAAAGGGCUCGUAGGCGGCCAACUAAGUCAGACGUGAAAUCCCUCGGCUUAACCGGGGAACUGCGCCUGAUACUGGAUGGCUUGAGGUUGGGAGAGGGAUGCGGAAUUCCAGGUGUAGCGGUGAAAUGCGUAGAUAUCUGGAGGAACACCGGUGGCGAAGGCGGCAUCCUGGACCAAUUCUGACGCUGAGUGAGCGAAAGCCAGGGGAGCAAACGGG